rnacentral:lncRNA from 1 species
AGAUUGGUUUUGGUUGAUAGUAACUUCUAAAUAUUUAGAGUCACCUUUGUUAGACAUUGGUGACCUUUGAAAACUUAUUUUGGUUCUUUUAUUUGAUGUUUAGAGCAUAAAUUAUGUAAAUCUUAUAAGAAAAAGGAUUGAAGAAGGGUUUUGGUAGCAAAGGGAGUAAUUAGGGCACCAAUAUAGAUGAAUGGAGAUAGAUGAUGAAAAUCUCGAUUACUAUUGGUCAAAAAUCAUGACCAAUGGGCUUUGAAGAGGCUGUCUAAGGCCAUAUCAGAGAUUAGGAUUAGUUUUGAGAGCCAUUUCAGCUUUGAAGGCUAAGAUCAGCAAGUUUAGGUUUUUGGCUAUGGUUUUGGUACAAAUCUUAUAUGAUUUGGAAUUUAUAUGAAGGAGAUAUAGGUACUCUAAGUUAAGGUGUUGAUUUGGGAGCUACUAAUACUCUUUUUAACUUAACGUACAUGUACAUAGGACAAUUGAGGAUUGGCGACU